rnacentral:hammerhead_ribozyme from 1 species
AUCUAGAUGACGAGUCCCAAACAGGACGAAACGCGCGUUCUGGAU